GUGAAGGUUGCAGUAAGCCGACGACUCUGCACUCCAGCCUGGGUGACAGAGUGAGACUCUGUCUCAAAAAAAAAGAGAAGAAAAUAAAUAUUUAUUAAACAAUACCACAGAGAAAGUUAAAAGGUGAAUCACAACCUGGAAAAAUAGCCAUACAUAUAAUGAAGAAAAGAUUAGUAACUGGAUAUUUGGAUAUAUAAGUAACACUUAUGAAUCAAUAUGAAAAAGAUAAACAACCCAAUAGAAAAAUGGGGAAAGACUAUGAAUAUAUAAUUCACAGAAGAGAGACCCAAAUGGCCAAUAAACAAAUAACAGAUUGAUCAACCAGGAUCUGAAUCUCUGUGUUGGCUGAGUAAUUAACAUCCUUUCCCCUAGUGACCCUCAACAAUGGCUGACUGGCGUUGGUGUAUAACAACCCCAAAUAUGCCAGCCACCUUCCCUCUCUCAUUUUCCAGAGUUUUUCCUUGAAAUUGAGCUCUAAUUGCUCACGAUAAUAACUGGCUUGAUACUGCACCCUGUACUGACCGCCUUUCCUCCUUCCUUGCCUCACUUCCUUCCACCCCUACCUGCUUUCUCAGAUGAUGUCCCACAUUAACCUUGAAUCCCUGCCUCAGGGCUUUCUUCUGGGGGAACCUAAACUAACAUAAAAUUGUUCAAGCUUCCUUGCCUGAAUCAAACAGAUUCUGAGUCCCUAGCAGCUCUGUGGGAACUUUCCACAUUAAAAAAACACCAAAAAACAAAAAAUGACAGCCUCCCUUAAAAUGCAUAUGAGAGACAGGGCCUGUUGGCUGGGGGCCCAGACUAUGGCCACAGUCACAGACUUCAAAGCUGCCUCAAGCCUGGGACUCCAGCUCGUGGACAUUCUGCAGGUCUGCUUUCUUUCUGUCCUCUUUGAACCUUGUCCAUAAUCAGUGCCCUUGGCCCUGCCUUGCUAGGGUUCAUAGCUAAACUCUCCCUGUUCCUUGAGCCAUUUUUGAUACGCGGAUCUGACUGCGGUCUGUUUAACAUGGUAAACACUGCAAUCUGGGCCAUAUCUCUAGUCACAGGCUUUUGGUCAGCCAGUUCCACAGACAGGGUUAUGUGUCACCUAUCCCCCAUUUUGGGGUUCCUGCCACAGUCACAGCGCAAGUGAAUGCAAGAACCACUUCACCAUAAAAAAGGCUGCCUCACUGCCAGUGGCUUCUCAGAUAAUGGGAGUUGGUGCCAGUGGCUUUGGCAGCAACAUGAGAUAGGGACCUCUGUACAGGCAUCAGAGGCCUUGAUCAUGACCUUGGCAGUGGUCUGUAUCAGGGCCUUGAGAUGGUGCUUCUGGUGGUGCCAGGACAAUGUGCUUGUUUCUUUCUUUUUUUGAGAUGGAGUUUUACUCUUGUCGUCCAGGCUGGAGUGCAGUGGCAUGAUCUUGGCUCACUGCAACCUCCACCUCCUGGGUUCAAGCAAUUCUUGUGCCUCAGCCUCCCUAGGAGCUGGGCUUAUAGGUGCACACUGCCACACCCGGCUAAUUUUUUGUAUCUUUAGUAUAGUCAGGGUUUUGCCAUGUUGGGC
rnacentral:lncRNA from 1 species